UACGUAGGGUGCAAGCGUUGUCCGGAAUUAUUGGGUGUAAAGAGCUCGUAGGCGGUCUGUCACGUCGGCUGUGAAAACCCGCGGCUCAACUGUGGGCUUGCAGUCGAUACGGGCAGGCUAGAGUUCGGUAGGGGAGUCUGGAAUUCCUGGUGUAGCGGUGAAAUGCGCAGAUAUCAGGAGGAACACCGGUGGCGAAGGCGGGACUCUGGGCCGAUACUGACGCUGAGGAGCGAAAGCGUGGGGAGCGAACAGG
rnacentral:rRNA from 1 species